rnacentral:sRNA from 1 species
UAUCAAAGGCCAAUUAAUAUUAUAAUGC